AUUGAACGCUGGCGGAAUGCUUAACACAUGCAAGUCGAGCGGGCUGUAGCAAUACAGCUAGCGGCGGACGGGUGAGGAAUACAUAGGAAUCUGCCUCAGAGUGGGGGAUAGCCCGGGGAAACCCGGAUUAAUACCGCAUGAUGUCGUAAGACCAAAGCAGGGGACCGUAAGGCCUUGCGCUUUGAGAUGAGCCUAUGUCGGAUUAGCUAGUUGGCGGGGUAAAAGCCCACCAAGGCGACGAUCCGUAGCUGGUCUGAGAGGACGAUCAGCCACACCGGAACUGAGACACGGUCCGGACUCCUACGGGAGGCAGCAGUGGGGAAUAUUGGACAAUGGGCGCAAGCCUGAUCCAGCAAUUCCGCGUGUGUGAAGAAGGCCU
rnacentral:rRNA from 1 species